ensembl:miRNA
UUAGGGCCCUGGCUCCAUCUCCUUUAGGAAAACCUUCUGUGGGGAGUGGGGCUUUGACCCUAACC